rnacentral:rRNA from 1 species
GAUGAACGCUAGCGGCAGGCUUAACACAUGCAAGUCGAGGGGCAGCAUGACACGGAGAUUCGUCGAAGUGUUGAUGGCGACCGGCGCAAGGGUGCGUAACGCGUGAGCAACUUGCCCGUUUCAGGGGGAUAACCGGUGGAAACGCCGACUAAUACCCCAUAGUAUUGGAUUUAGGCAUCUUUAUCCAAUUAAAGAAUUUCGGAAACGGAUAGGCUCGCGUGACAUUAGCUAGAUGGCGGGGUAACGGCCCACCAUGGCGACGAUGUCUAGGGGUUCUGAGAGGAAGGUCCCCCACACUGGAACUGAGACACGGUCCAGACUCCUACGGGAGGCAGCAGUGAGGAAUAUUGGUCAAUGGUCGAGAGACUGAACCAGCCAUGCCGCGUGAAGGUGACGGCCCUAUGGGUCUUAAACUUCUUUUUGUAAGGGGAGCAAUAAGCUUUACGUGUAGAGUGAUGAGAGUACCUUACGAAUAAGCAUCGGCUAACUCCGUGCCAGCA